rnacentral:misc_RNA from 1 species
GGCAGAAACAUUUUCUUGAAUUGUGUUAUCAAAUCUUCGAAAUCUUACAUUUAUCUGUUGAUUAAACUCUUUUAUUCUUUGUUGGUCUUCUUCUAAAACUGUCUCAAACUUCUUUUGAUUCUCUUUAGCAUCAAUAUCUUCUUCUUCAUCUGUAUCUUGAAUCUGUUUAUCCUCUUCAACAUAAUUCCCAAAGCAAGCCUCCAAUGCACUAACAUAUUCAUCCCAAUUCACAUUCACUUUGUUACUCUUCACAGACUCUUGGUGCCAUUUAAUAGCUCGCCCUUCUAGAUGUAAAGCAACAACCUUAACUCUCUUCUCAUACUCAAUCCUACACAACUCAACUCAACUCAACUA